rnacentral:rRNA from 1 species
UUAUCUCUGUAGAGUCUGCAUAUCAAUAAGCGGAGGAAAAGAAACUAACUAGGAUUCCCUCAGUAACGGCGAGUGAAGCGGGAAGAGCUCAAAUUUGGAAUCUUCAAGGUUUUACCUUGACGAAUUGUAGCUUAAAGAAGUGUUUUCUGUUGGAUGUUUUGGUAAAAGUUCUUUGGAAUAGGACAUCAUAGAGGGUGAGAAUCCCGUAUUUGACCAUUACUUUCCAACUUUGUGAUACACUUUCAAAGAGUCGGAUUGUUUGGGAAUGCAGUCCAAAAUGGGUGGUAAAUUUCAUCUAAAGCUAAAUAUUGGCGAGAGACCGAUAGCGAACAAGUACCGUGAGGGAAAGAUGAAAAGAACUUUGAAAAGAGAGUUAAACAGUACGUGAAAUUGUCAAAAGGGAAGCGUUUGACACCAGUGUUGUUUUCUCGAAAAUCAAUUAAAAAUGACCGGAUUUUGUGUUGUAUUGACUUUAUCAGCUUUCUGCACUUUUUUCUUGUCUUUUUUAAUGCACUUUUCGUUUAACAAGUCAACAUCAGUUUCUUUUGUUGUAAAAGAGUCAUUGGAAGGUGGCUUUCCUUUCGGAUGAAAGUGUUUAUAGCCUUUGACUUCUGCAAUCGGAGAGAUUGAGGUCUGCAGCGUAGAUCCUUCGGGGUUAGAUACGUAGAUGCUAAGUUAUAGUUUUUUAUAGACAACUUGUUGACUAUAAUUAAUCAUGUAGCUUACUCGUUUGACGCUAUUUUACCUACGCUUAGGAUGUUGAUCUCUCACAGUCGAGC